CGUCUUGCGAAUUGCAUAGCCAGCGAGUCAUCAAAAUUUUGAACGCAUCUUGCACUUCCCUUUGGGGAGUAUUCUGUUGGAGUAUCUGUAGAACCCUCUUGAGCCAUCAGGGCUGUAACAAGCCUCUGAUGGAGAUCGUGGUCUCCCUC
rnacentral:rRNA from 1 species